AAUUUCCCUAGUACUAACUAGUAUAAGUGACUUCCAAUUACCUGGUCCUGGUUUAAAUCCAGGGGGAAAU
rnacentral:tRNA from 1 species